rnacentral:lncRNA from 1 species
UGGGGCAGGGUCUCACCGGGGCGGGGGGGCCGCGCUGGUGCCGGCAGAGCUGGCGGAUGCAGUUGUUGACGGCGACGCUGCUGCGGCCGGGGCUCAGCUCCUCCUCGCUCAUCUCCACCCAGCCCAGGGAGCGCACCCAGAAUCGCUGUGGGGCAGGGUGUGGGGCACGGUGUGGGGCACGGUGUGGGGCACGGUGUGGGGCACAUCCACCCCCACACCCCCCAAACCCCAGGGCAGGGGGGACCCUGCACCCCAGACACAUCUAAAGCACCGCUCAUCACAGACAGCACUGCGCUGGAGGAUGUGUGGGGCAGGGUGUGGGGCAGGGUGUGGGGCACGGUGUGGGGCAGGCUGUGGGGCAGGUUGUGGGGCACGUCCACCCCCAUGCCCUCCUGUCCCCAGGGUAGGGGGGACUCUGCACCCCAGACACAUCUAAAGCACCGCUCAUCACAGACAGCACUGCACUGGAGGAUGUGUGGGGCAGGGUGUGGGGCAGGGUGUGGGGCAGGGUGUGGGGCAGGGUGUGGGGCAGGGUGUGGGGCACGUCCCCCCCCACACACCCCAAUCCCCAGGGUAGGGGGGACCCUGCACCCCAGACACAUCCAAGGCACCUCUCAUCACAGACAGCACUGCACUGUGCUGCAGGAUGUGUGGGGCAGGGAUGUGUGGGGCAGGGUGUGGGGCACGGUGUGGGGAAGGGUGUGGGGCACAUCCACCCCCAUGCCCCCCAAACCCCAGGGCAGGGGGGACUCUGCACCCCAGACCCAUCCAAGCUCCCUCUCAACACAGACAGCACUGCACUGCGGGAUGUAUGGGGCAGGGUGUGGGGCAGGGUGUGGGGCAGGGAUGUGUGGGGCAGGGACAUGUGGGGCAGAGCGUGGGGCACAGUGUGGGGCAGGCUGUGGGGCACAUCCGCCCCCAAGCCCCCCAAUCCCCAGGGCAGGGGGGACCCUGCACCCCAGACCCAUCCAAGCUCCCUCUCACCACAGACAGCACUGCACUGUGGGAUGUGUGGGGCAGGGACAUGUGGGGCAGGGACAUGUGGGGCAGGGACAUGUGGGGCAGGGUGUGGGGCACGUCUACCCCCACACCCCCCCAGUCCCCAGGGCAGGGGGGACCCUGCACCCCAGACACAUCCAAGCUCCCUCUCACCACAGACAGCACUGUGCUGUGGGAUGUGUGGGGCAGGGUGUGGGGCAGGGAUGUGUGGGGCAGGGUGUGGGGCACGGUGUGGGGCAGGGUGUGGGGCACGUCUACCCCCACACCCCCCAAACCCCAGGGCAGGGGGGACCCUGCACCCCAGACCCAUCCAAGGCACCUCUCACUGCAGACAGCACUGCGCUGUGGGAUGUGUGGGGCAGGGUGUGGGGCAGGGUGUGGGGCAGAGAUGUGUGGGGCAGGGAUGUGUGGGGCAGGGACGUGUGGGGCAGGGCCCACUUGUGGGGCAGGAGGAUGCUCGGGUCGCCUCCACUUGUGGGGCAGGGAUGUGGGGCAGGAGGAUGCUUGUUUCCCCCCACUUAUGGGGCAGGAGGACGUGUAGGUCGCCCCCACUUAUGGGGCAGGGAGAUGUGGGGCCAGGACACCUGGGUCCCCCCCACUUAUGGGGCACCGGGGUCCCCUCCGCCGCCUC